GACGAACGCUGGCGGCGUGCUUAACACAUGCAAGUCGUACGGUAAGGCCCUUUCGGGGGUACACGAGUGGCGCACGGGUGAGUAACACGUGAGUAACCUGCCCACAACUUUGGGAUAACGCUAGGAAACUGGUGCUAAUACUGGAUAUGUGCUCCUGCUGCAUGGUGGGGGUUGGAAAGCUCCGGCGGUUGUGGAUGGACUCGCGGCCUAUCAGCUUGUUGGUGGGGUAGUGGCCUACCAAGGCGGCGACGGGUAGCCGGCCUGAGAGGGUGACCGGCCACAUUGGGACUGAGAUACGGCCCAGACUCCUACGGGAGGCAGCAGUGGGGAAGAUUGCACAAUGGGCGCAAGCCUGAUGCAGCAACGCCGCGUGCGGGAUGACGGCCUUCGGGCUGUAAACCGCUUUCAGCAGGGACGAAGCUUUUUGUGACGGUACCUGCAGAAGAAGCACCGGCUAACUACGUG
rnacentral:rRNA from 1 species